CGUGGGUGAAGAAGCGACAUCAGGUGGUUCGCUCGCACAAAACAGCAGCUCAAGGCGGCUCGACCUUUUAACACGAACUGAGAGAUUUCCAAUACCUGCAGUAUUUUGCUUUUGUGGUAACGAUCUGCAUUGGAUUCACAUUGAUCAAAUCUGAAAACAUUAGACAGUAUGAUAGUCUAAGAAGAGUCCAACACCAAACCCGCAGCCCAUGCGUCCUAACUCUAAGGCUGAGGAUACAGUUUGUUAAUUUGAGGAUUCGCUCAUCCAUAUUUCAAUGGGAUUUCCCUGGCAUUUUCAGGAGGCUUUCUGGUUAGGUUACUCAACUGCCCAUUGAUGCCAUCUACUGCCCUUGCAUAGCAGCUUUAACACCCGACCUGACACCAGUAACUAUGGCACGGGUAUUUGUUAGGCAACUGACAACAAAGACAUUUUUAUUAAACGUUAAGUAUGAAUUAAUGAUUGCAAUAAUCCCAGCAAUAAAUUUUUUGUAAUUAAGUUACAAAACACAUUGUUAGUAGCAAUACUAAGAUGCUUUGUGAUAUGCUGUAGUUCUUGUGCCUUGUGCAAUCCAAAUGUGAAUUCCAACAUGACUUGUACAGUUGAGAUGACAAAAUCUAAUCUAA